AUGUUAAAUAAGUCUUUGCUUGGUCAGGCUCUGAAGGAGAUUCGUACCCUGUCUGUGGACUCAGCAUCUCUGGAGGAGAAGAAGAGGAUGCUUAUGGAGAUCCAGUCUGCCUACGUCAAGGAGAUCGCAUAUAUGUCUGGGAAACCAGAGCAGCUGAUCAAGGCCAAGCUGACCGAGAUCUGGGAGAAGAAGAGGGCUUUGGCAGCCCAGAGGAGAGCAGCUGUCCCCCCUACAUCCAAGCCCUCCACCUCCGCUACCAUCUCCUCCACACCCAGUCCCAACACCCUGACAGCAGCAUCCCAGGUGCCUCGGGCUAGCUGUCUGAGUCCGACAGGGGCAGCAAGCGGCACUGUGAAACCGGUGGCUGCCGUUCUGCGCACGAAGAGCGGCAAGAUCAUCCUUCCCGCCUCCAUGCUUCCCCCUUCCAUGCUUCAUGCUUCCAGACCAGGAAGAGCGGUCUACAAACUGAAGGUUGUGAAGAGGUCACUGACACCCACCCCCUCCUCCAGCUCCACCUCCCUGGCAAAUGACCACGUUGUGGCGAGCGAGAGUGCCGAGGAAAAGGACUCCGGACCCCCGACCAUUCAUCCCUCACAGCCCCUCUCUCAGACCCAUGACCAACUGCCCUCCGUGUCAGUCUUAAACGACCAGGGGAGAACGUCAGGGGAGUCCCAGCAGCCCUCAGACGGCCCAGCAGAGGAGAACCCAGAGGUGGGUAAUGAGGAGCCUCAGGCCCCUGACUUUAAUGGGUCCAUGGACGAAGAGACUCUCACGGUGAAGGACAGUCGCCCAACUGCCAAAAAGAAGUCCCUGAUCAAUAAAAAGACAAUCAAGAGGAUUUCUGGUAUGAAGUGUCCCCUUGUGGAGAUCGCGCCUAUAAACAGUGCCAUCUGGAGGCCGCUGGAGGAACCGCAGGUAGGGGGUGAGAGUGACCCAAAUGGCUGGGGCCUGUCGCUGACCAAGGAAGAGGCAGCGAGGCUGGUGAAGGCCGUCUCUGAUCACAAGGGCAUAGUGGCGACCAGGAAAUCCAAGGAUAGCCUGGUCCAACACAAAGGAAGUAAAAGCUCUGCGACCUCGAAGGCUGAAGGUAGCUCGGCAAAAAACAAAAAGGAUUGCACACCACCACAAAAAGAAGAGGAUGGCACGGUCUCCCGGCAAGAAGGCGAGGUUCCAGACAUGCAGAAAGUAGAGGAUAGCUUGAACGCACCGAAGGAAAAUUACCUGUCAAAUGCAGAGAGGGCCGAGGGGGGCUCUGCGACAUCAAAGGAAACAGGUGGUGUGACGCAGGAGGCAGCAGGAGGUGCGGCCACACAGGGAGGCGCGGCCACACAGGGAGGCUCGCCGGGUGGCUUUGAGAUUCCACUUGUGAAGAGAAAACGAGGGCGGCCACGAUCGGCAGUCAAAACACCAGCAGCCGAACACACCGCAACCAGCCUUGCCACGAGGGGUCGGCCCCCUAAAGUCCCACGCGUUGGCAUCGAUAGCCCCGCGGCAACCACUGAGGCUAGCCCGGCCGACGAAAGGCAAGGCGCACGCAGCAACUCCACCCCCACUUCUCGACCUGGGUGUAGCCCCGUGAAGAGAGCUGCAGGUAGCCCUGCUACCCGGGGCAGGCCACCCAAACUACGGAAAGCUGGAGACUGCCCCACCCCGGCCCCAGUAGCUCGGGCCGGGUUAAGCCCGGGGAGAUCGACACGCGCCGGGGGCAGCCCCGUGGUGAAGACUGAGGGUGGCGUAGUCAAACCACCGCGAGGAGAAAGCCCUGCCAAGGCCACCCGAACUGCGGUUUAUAACCCUGCACCAACAAGUAAAGGAAGCCCGGGUAACAUCCCACAGGGUGUGGGUCGAUCCGGAACCAGGCCUGUGACCCGCGCUGUGACUGUGAAGGACUCAGGCAUUGGGAAGAGGACAAUGAGGUCUGACAAGUCCUAGUGGAACUCUGAGACAAUUAAAAUGCCUGCCUUCCAUUCCAGAGUAGAAUUUCAUCCAAUCAGAGGAGUUAAACUUUUCACUUCAACUAAAUAGCUGUCGUUAAUGGCUGCACUCUUCCUAUCCUGUUCAGACCACCACAUGUGCCUGUUUGCAAAUUGAAAUGACCCAGGACAGUUGUCUGUCUGUGGGAGUCAGCCCUCUCUCAGCUUCAGGACUCAUCUGCCUGCCUGCCUACUCGGGAAUUACACACAACAAAGCAGCAAAUGUACACCUUUAGGACAGUUCAUUUUUGGAACAUCUGAUGUGUUUGAGGGAGUCAUUCAAUGAACGUACCGUAUGAACAUACUAUAGGUCAGGCUGUAGUUUUGAGUCUUGGGACAUAUAUUAGGAGUGUGCCAUGGCAUGUAUACAUGAUUUCUUAAUUAGGUCAAUAUUCUUAUUAUGUUCGAGAGGGUGUUAUUUAGAACGAAACCCUUGCUUUAGCUGCAGAUGGAGGUAUAGGAAAUUAUCAUUUUAUUGUUAUCAUCAAGAUGGGUUCAUGAAUUAACUCUGAAAUUCUUUUUUCUUUUUCUUAAGUGGUGAAGAAGAAAGUGUUCUCUUAAAUCUACCAAAAAUAAUGGAUAUGCAUAAACAUGACCACAAUACAGAUUAAUUAUUUUCAGGAAGGGUUUUGAAGUUAUCAAUAGGUCCAAAUCUUUGCAGAUGAAAAUCAUUGAUUUAAGAUAUGUGUUUGUUUAUGUCAAAAACACUGUACAUUUAUUUAUAUGUAAAGACUAUAUAGCUGUGAUUCGUGUGUUCAGUCCUUGAAAUACUAUUCAUUACCAAGUUUAUUUUCUUCUCAAAAUCAGCACUUUGUCAAAUACAUUUUAUACUAUUCCUUCUGUUAUUUCCUCUAUCACAACCAUAUUUAAUUUGCCUUCUGGAUUGCUUCCCAGUCUGUUCAGUAAUUGUACUCCUUGUUCAAUGAUUCUCACGCCAGACGUUUGAGGAGUUCUAAACAAGCAUUAUUAUUUGUGGUCCCAAUACAUUUGUUUCAACCUUGUGUGUCAAUGUCAUGACAAAAUCUAAGCUAUACUGUAAUACGAGGUUUCUCUAACCUGUCCUUGGCCCUCCCCAGAUGUUUCACUUUUUUGUUUUUACUGUGAACUGUCCCACCUGAUUCAGUUAGUCAAAGGCUUGAUGAUUAGUCGACUCAUUGAACUGUGCUAGUUUACAUUUAAAACUAAAACAGGAAACAUCUGGGGAGGUCCAUGGGGAAAUUCGGGAAUCCCGGUUGUAAUAUCUAUGAAAUAACUUUUGUAAAUAUGUAUUUUGUUUUUUAUCUAAGUCGGUCUUGUGUUUAAUAAUGUUCAAUGCAUUUUGUAAAGAAAUAACUGUUUUACACCAGUGAGUGCUGGUAAGGGACUUGAAAAUGAAUAAAACUGCACAUGCAUUUCUUUG
ensembl:lncRNA